UCACAAUGAUGACUGUUUUAUCCAACCAUUCGCAGUUUCUUCCAGAAAGGGAUUUACUCUUUGUGUUGGCAAAUCCUUCCUUGGAUGUCUGAGUGA